ensembl:lncRNA
UUGUUAACCACUAUCACUGCCCGAAUUUCUCUGUGCUCACCAUUUGCACCCCACAGAACCUUACCUGCUAUCCAACGCCGCGGCCUCCGCGCUCUGCGAGCUCCAGUCUCCGGUUCUCCCCUGAGCCCAGUCAAGCCUCCGCCUCGCCAGCCUGCUGGUCGUUCCAGCCACAGAGGUCUCCUGAGUUAUUUAUACUACCCAGCCUACGGGUCUUCCUCUGUUCUCAUCUUUUGUACUCCUUGGUUGGAUUUACCUGUGGCUUUCCUUUGUUUAAUUAAAGACUGUCAUUUUGCCCUCGCAUUUGAGUCCUCUCUCUUCAAUACCCAUCACAGCUACUGUAUAAUUUUGAGGUCUUUGUGUGCUUAGUACUUACAUGGGUAGUUGGGGAAAAUGGGUUCACACUCCUUUAAAGAGAGGAACUCCAAGAAGAAACACCACUGUGUUGUCUGCAGACAAGCCCUCGACAGCCAUGGCAUGUACUGCAGAGUGCAUGCCCUUGUUUGAGAGAGAGAGAAAGAGUUGAGUGGGAGCAAGAGCGUAAGAGGAUCAGAAAGAGAGAGAGAGAAAGAAAGAGAGGAGAGCGUGUGUGUGAUAUAGGAACUCUAGAAAACUGGACUCAUCUGAGAAAGGUACAGACUCUUUUCCUUUUUAAAAUGGGCAUCAAAGAGGGAUUUCAUUUUGCUUUUUUCAAAUGUAAAAUAUACUAAGUGUAUUUUUCAUUUCAGAUGGUAGAAUCAAUUUGUGGUUGUAGUGAGAUGAUCUGUUUGGCACAAAGAGAAAUACUGUAGAAAAGAGAGAAUGAACAAUAUAUGAAUCAAAGUAGAGACAAGAUUGUAACUGACACAUGAGGGAUACAAUCAGGUCUCUGUCCCCAGUGAAGUUAUCUCAGAUCCACCUCCAUUUCAAAACCAGAUAAACAUUCCUCUCAGUAGAGACAAAAUGGAGUUUUAUGGAGAAGUUGAUGGGCAGUCAUUAUGACUUUGACCUGACAUACAUAACUGAGCGUAUCAUCUCUGUCUGACCUGGAAGACCAGCGUUACAGUGCUAACCUCAAAGAUGUGGCAGCCAUGUUGAAAUCUAAACAUCAAGACAAGUUCUUGGUCAGUUGAACUUCUGUUUAAAAUCACUGCUGAGAUCUAAAGCCAUGUGAAUUAUGGCAUUACGUUGUGACAUCAAACCAAAGGUAUCUUCUUGCUGUUUGAUUAAAAACAGCAUUAUAUGUAUUAUUUCAUUAGUUAGAUUUGCAAGCAAAUUAAUUUAAAAGUAACUGUAUGGCUUGCUUGUUUUGAUGUAUGCCUCUGUUUCUGUAUUUCUGGGAUGACCCAUUCCCUUGCCUCAGGUUGAGAAGUUUGGGUGGCCUGAUCUACAUGCCCCAUCCCUCGAUAAAAUAUGUGCUGUGUGCAAAACCAUGGAGAACUGGCUUAACUCUGACCCCCAGAAUGUGGUUGUACUGUACUGCAAGGGCAGAUCUUGCUCUCUUGACAAUUGCUAUGAGGAAAUUUUGUGAGGAUAAAAUCUCUUCCUCUCUCCAACCAUUUCAGAACAGGUAUGACCAAACUUUAUUUCUGUUUGUUCCAGAAUAACUUGUUCUAGUUUGGUCAUGAUAUUCUCUCUGUAAUUGCAAGUAUAUAUAUAUUAUUUUUCUGGUCUUCUCUCAGGUUCAAAAAAGAUGAACAGCUCUCCUCUUUUCCUGCAUAAAAUUCAUAUUCCAGCUUUGCUCAACUACCAGGCAGGAGGUACACAACAUGUUCAAUCAUGACCAGGCCUUAUUUUGUAUUUUCUGAACUGAUUUUAGGUUAAAGACAACAGAGAUCUGUAUGUUUUAAAAUGUGUUGAAGUGAUAGUUGAAGCAAAAAUGAAAUCAUAAUUUACUCACCCUCAUGACGUUCCAAACCUGUAUGACUUGUUUCAUUCAUACAGGUUUGGAGCGACAUGGGAGUGAGAAAAGGAUGACAGAUUUUUUUAGGGUGACGGACAUUUUUGGGUGAACUUUCCCUUUCACUGUGUUUCCUCAUAUGAUCCAUUGCAUUUUGCAGGUUACUCUCCCUUUUUGAAGCUCUAUCAGUCGUUGCAGCUGGUCUAUUCUUCAGGCAAAUAGUAGUGAUAUUCAGGGUCCUAACAGUAAGAUGCUGUGUGUGAAUAUUAAACCAGCUCUACUGCUGAAGGGAGACAUCUUGAUGACCGAUUCCUUGCAGACGCCACAGUGGAGUUGCUGUUUUCUUCUGGUCUGCAAAGGAGAGGUGGAGAGGUGCAGGGAAAUGAGCCAGGAGUAUCUGUGGAUUAUGGCAGCGCAGAUCCUAUUGUGCGCUGGGACUCGUAUGAGAACUUUAACAUUCACCAAGAGGAUAGUGUUGAGGAUAUCUGUCACAAACAUGGGUCUUUGAACGGUAGUCUGUAUGCUCAAGUGAAGAAGCGUCGAGCACCAGGCUCCAGUCCCAGUGGAUGUCCGACUUCCGUCAAAACCCCCACACAUUCACCCUGUCAUUCCUCCUCUACCCCCAUUCAUCUUUCCAUCCAGCCUCUUUCGCUCAGCAAAGAUGCAAGUCGCUCCUCAGCACCACCCGAAUCCCCCUCUCCACUUCUAAGAGAAAAAAGAGAGAAGGACGAAGACAGGGAAAGACACAGAGAAAAUUCUUGACGAUGGCAACUGCUCUCCCAUGAGACUGGAAUGGCCAGUUCAGUCUUAUGGUCACCUGUAUUCCCACAUUUAUUAAUUCUGUGACCCAGAGCUUGCACAAAUGCUCCAUCCCAAACACCACACACUUCCCUGCAGCCGCACUGCCCCGCUGCCAGUCUGAGACUCGUGUGCAUCCCAGCCGGAUCUUUUAUGGGAGAGAGGGCAAUGUCUGCACCAUCCCUGCCCAGAAACCAUCAGGCACAUGUACUCAUAUCCCACUCACGUAACCCACCUUCAUUCGCCACUUUCCCACUCACAGUCCUCCCAUUCCCACACACUUCCCACACAGACACAUGUGUUCUACUCUGGGGAGGCAUGUCCUGUGUUCUAUUGCUCUGCCCUCCCCUAGGGCCACACCCACAUCCCUUCUUCUCUGUCUCCUACUCAGUCACUGCUCUCCAGUCCAUACCGAGAAUUACAUUACAGCACGACUCCCCCAACAUCGUGCUCCUGUUCUCGCUUACGAGAGGAUGUUGCCCUCCAUUCCUUACACGGCAGAGAAAUAGAAGCUCUCCCUUGGUCUAGAGAGACAGAGUUUGGGAUUAGGAGGGAGGGGCCUGUGCACUGGAGGGAUGAAAGGGCGGAGUCUCAUUGGGAAGGAGCUCAAGAGGCCGAAUACUUGCGGCGCAAAAUAGCAAUGUCACCAGUAAUGUUAUCAUACAGACAUUGCCACACUGUACCAAAACAAGACCAAGCUAUAUAUGUUACAGACACCCAACCCAAACAUAUGACCCCAAUCAGUCCAUAUCCCAGCCCCCAAAGCAGUGGCUAUCACAGCCCUCGUCCACCCUGUCCUUGCACUCCACAACCAUUCAGAGACAGUCCUGGAUACGUCUCCAUCAGUCAUUCGUUAUCCCCCAUUGCUCUCACUCCAUCUCCAAAACAAGCCAGUCACAACAAUGCUUCAGCUGAAGAGAGUCAGCAUAGCAUGAAUAGUAAUCACAUUGACUCAGUUUGGUCAAUAAAUUACAGCUAACAAAUAAUGCAUUCCUUAAACAACUUUUGAUAACACUUCACAAUAAAGUUCAUUAGUUACAGUAUUUAUUCAUCUUAAUGUUAACAUUAAUUAAUAAAAGUAUUGGUAUUGUUCAUGUUAGCUUAGGUCCAUUAAUAUUAACAGAUAAAACUUUGGAUUUUAAUAAUGUAUUAGUAAAUGUUGAAAUUAUUAUGAACUUCAUGUUAACUAAUUUUCAUGUUAACUAAUGUAGUUAACGUUAACAAAUGGAACCUUAUUGUAAAAUGUUAUCAAACAUUUGUGUUUCAAGUAAAUGCUGUUCUUCUGAACUUGAUAUACAUCAAAAUAUCAUGAAACAAAAUAUAUCACAGUUUCCACAAAAAUAUUAAGCAGCACAAAUGUUUUCAUCAUUAAUAAUAAUAAAAAAUGUUUUUAAACAAUAUAAAAUAUAUAAAAAUAGAGAAGAGUUUCAAUUAUACAAUAUAAUAAUAAUUAAUAUAUUUAAUAAUUAAUAAUAUAAUAAUUAAAUUGAAUUAAUAUUUCACAAUAUUACAGUGUUUUUUAUCAAAUUAGUGCAGCCUUGGUGAGCAUAAGCAUUUAAUAAUCGUACUGACCCCAAACUUUUGAAAAGUAAUGUACAUUUAAAGAGAUAGUUCUCCAAAAAAAAAAAAAAAUGAAACCUCUGUUCAUCACUCUGAAGUUGUCCAAGCCAGAUUUUUAUUUUAUUUAUUUAUUUAUUUUUUUUUUUUGUGGAACACAAAAGGAGAUAUUUUGUAGAAUGUAAACACUGUUCUUUCCUAUACACAAAAUUUGUUGGUGAUUGAUAAUGUCAAGCUUUAAAAGAGACACAAAAAUACCAUAAAUGUAACAUUUAUUUUAAUUUAUUUAUUUUUCCCCAGCUUUUUUCUCUUUCCUAAUCUAUUGUUGUGUAUUUUGUAGAUGGGCGUAUAGAGGUUUUAGAUGCUGAUAAAAGUCACAUUGAGGCCUUUUCACCUCCUGUUAAUCUCUCAGCAACAGUUAAUUUUGAUAGUUGAACGUUGAUUUUAAUGUGAUAUCAAGUAAAUUCUUCUGCGUAUUCUAACAGCAGACCAAUGGAGGUGGGAGAACCAAUGAAAAGCAAAGUUCUAGAAAGUAGAACAUUCCCUGGGUCUCUGAUCAAUGUUGUCUCGGCUAUCAGUGGCACAGAGGAAAAUACAAAGAAAACAACCAUCACAGAUUGUAAAUCUAACACCCCUCUCAUUAGUAACCCACCAUCAUCCAAGGUUGUGGAGUCAGUGCAGGUACAAACACACAACCCCAAACCUCUCAGUACCAGCAUCCUGGAAUCAGAGCAGGAUAAAGAGGAGUGCCCCGGCUCAUGCUACACCUCAACUUCAACCUCAACAAGUCCUCAACCUCCACUUUGCUCUUCAGAAAGAAGCUCUGCUUCUAAAUUCCCUUCAUUUAACAUAAAUUCUGAAAUGCAAAGCAUGACAACAGUGACUUGACUGCAACGUCCUCUGACCCUGAUGGCUACGUCACACCCUUAUUCCCUAGAGCAGUGGUUCCCAGCCCUGGUCCUGGAGAACCCCCAACACUGCACAUUUAAGAUGUCUCCCUAUUCAAACACACCAGAUUCAACUCAUCAGCUCAUUAGUGAAGACUCCAAGACCUCAAAUGUGUGUGUCAGAUAAGAGCCACCAAAAGCAUGCAGUGUUGGGGGUUCUCCAGGACCAGGAUUGGAAACCACUGCCCUAGAGCAUACAGCUACCCUCUUCUGAUGGAGCCUCAUGUACCCUAUACAGGCUAUACUGAGAUUACCUUCAGAACGUGUCUGAAUGCACUAGCUCUUCAUCAGCAAAGUCAGCUGAAAAACCUGUGACUUCCUUUGCCCAGUUCCAUGUGUCCUUCUCCACUACUAACAAUGAAUUGCUCCCACAUCUAAAUGCAAAGUAACCCCCUCUAGUGGCAUUGAGGAGCCAGAGAACCGCCUCAGCCCCAAGUUUGUUCAAAACAGCUCCAAGUAUUGGAACAAACCUGGCAUCUCCAGAGACCAGGCCAUCGCAGUAUUAAAAGAUAAGGAGCCUGGCUGCUUCCUCAUUAGGGAUAGUAAUUCAUUCCAAGGCGCAUAUGGAUUGGCUCUGAAAGUCAGCACACCUCCAGUCCACGCUAGUAACCACGGAGAGACAGGCAACCCACAGGAGCAGCUAGUUAGGCACUUUCUGAUUGAGAGUGGUCCUCAAGGAGUGAAGAUCAAAGGCUGUCAAAAUGAAACAUAUUUCAGCUGUGGUGUAUCAGCACUCCAUUACUCCUGUGUCUCUUCCUUGUGUUUUACGAAUCCCAGAUAGAGAUCUUGAAAGGGAAUUGCAAGAGUUGCAAAGUGGAACUAAUACCAGCACAGCUGCAGAUCUAUUAAAACAGGGGGCAGCUUGUAAUGUUCUCUACCUAAACACUGGCCCACAAGACGCCUCCAAGGCAACCGAGUGCACUUUGCCCCAGGACCCUCGUCCUUCACCAACAGUCAUACACUUCAAAGUGUGCACACAAGGCAUCACCCUCACUGAUAACCAGCGCAGACUGUUUUUCACAAUGUGACUUCCAGCAGUGUGGCUCCACUGGAUCAAAGGUGGAUUGAUGCUGAUAACACUUCCAGCAAGAUGUUUGGAUUUGUUGCACGGCGCAGCAGUGAAUUGGGAAAUGUGUGUCACCUGUUUGCAGAGCUGGACUCAGAGCAGCCAGCCACGGCCAUUGUGAACUUCAUCAAUAAAGUCAUGCUGGGACCUCAACAGCUGCGAAAAUGAACACAGUAUAGGAGAGAUGGAGAAAAACAAAACAGAGAGAGCAAAGGACAAGAUGGUAUCGCUGUGGAUAUUGUCACGUUUAUAUACAGAAUGAGAGAAGUGUUUCUCAUUAGGAUACACAAAACUGAUUCAGUAUGCAAACUUUGUCUUUUUCUGUCAUGUUCACAUAUAGUGUAAAUCAGUGAGAUUAGGUCAUGUUGAAAUUGAGUGCAUUAUGAAGUGAUUUCAAAUUAAACUUCUUUUAUUAAAUAAAAAUGAAAUGUACAAGAAAUACAACAAAUGGAUAUUCCUGGUAAAGUAUAUCUAAUGGAUAAAUAAACGAGAGAGAAAGUUUUUAACACUCAAACCUAUCUUUGCUUUUAUACUACCACUCAGGAUGCCAAAGCUCAAUGACUGUUAUUGUGUUGUGUUUUUAUUUUCAUUGAUUUUGUGUGUGCUUGUUUUCAGUUAAAUGGUCAGAUCUUUUGGUUGUUCGUUUUCUGUUCAAAAUGCCCUUUAUAAGACACAAAGUCAUAUUUUUAGCAACUGUUGCAUUUUUAAAUUCAUACUUUUUAGUAUUUAAAUAAAAUAUUACAAAAAUAUAAAAAACAA